rnacentral:rRNA from 1 species
UGAGUGCGAGCUGCUACGGCAGCGAAGUUGGUGACGUCAUGCUUCCAAGAAAAGCCCUAUACCCGUUAAGGCAUCAUGGCCUGUACCCGAAACCGACACAGGUGGGGUGGUAGAGAAUACCGAGGGGCGCGAGGUAACUCUCUCUAAGGAACUCGGCAAAAUGGCCCCGUAACUUCGGGAGAAGGGGUGCCACCGCAAGGUGGUCGCAGUGAAGAGGCCCAGGCGACUGUUUACCAAAAACACAGGUCUCCGCUAAGUCGCAAGACGAUGUAUGGGGGCUGACGCCUGCCCAGUGCCGGAAGGUUAAGGAAGCUGGUCAGCGCAAGCGAAGCUAGCGACUGAAGCCCCGGUGAACGGCGGCCGUAACAAUAACGGUCCUAAGGUAGCGAAAUUCCUUGUCGGGUAAGUUCCGACCCGCACGAAAGGCGUAACGAUCUGGGCGCUGUCUCGGAGAGAGGCUCGGCGAAAUAGAAUUGUCUGUGAAGAUGCGGACUACGUGCACCCGGACAGAAAGACCCUAUGAAGCUUUACUGUAGCUUGGUAUUGUGCCCGGGCUCGCAAUGCGCAGGAUAGGUGGGAGGCUUUGAUCAUCGGCUUGCGGGUCGAUGUGAGCCAACGGUGAGAUACCACUCUUUGCGAGCUAGGGUUCUAACGGCCACCCGUCAUCCGGGGGCCGGACAGUACCUGGUGGGCAGUUUGACUGGGGCGGUCGCCUCCUAAAAGGUAACGGAGGCGCGCAAAGGUUUGCUCAGGCUGGUUGGAAAUCAGCCGACGAGUGUAAAAGCAGAAGCAAGCUUGACUGUGAGACCAACAAGUCGAACAGGGAGGAAACUCGGCUUUAGUGAUCCGACGGUUCUGAGUGGAAGGGCCGUCGCUCAACGGAUAAAAGUUACUCCUAGGAUAACAGGCUGAUCUCCCCCAAGAGUUCACAUCGACGGGGAGGUUUGGCACCUCGAUGUCGGCUCAUCGCAACCUGGGGCUGAAGUCGGUCCCAAGGGUUGGGCUGUUCGCCCAUUAAAGCGGUACGCGAGCUGGGUUCAGAACGUCGUGAGACAGUUCGGUCCAUAUCUGGUGCACGCGCAGGAAUAUUGAGAGGAUUUCUCCCUAGUACGAGAGGACCGGGAGGAACGCACCUCUGGUGUACCAGUUAUCGUGCCAACGGUAAACGCUGGGUAGCCAUGUGCGGAGUGGAUAACCGCUGAAAGCAUCUAAGUGGGAAGCCCACCUCAAGAUGAGUAUUCCCAUGGCGUAAGCCAGUAAGGUCACGGGAAGAACACCCGUUGAUAGGCUCUAUGUGGAAGCGCAGUAAUGCGUGAAGCAGAGGAGUACUAAUAGACCGAGGGCUUGACC